CAGCCUAACGUGAUUUAAUCAAUUAUUACAGGUAGAGAUGAAGAAGCCGGUCAGGAAUACAAUCUGUGGUCACGUCUAUGAAGAAGAUGCCAUCAUGGAAGUUAUUCGAAACAAAGAGCAACGUAAGAAGAAAGUCCGCUGCCCCAAACUUGGGUGCAACAACGAUGAAGUCAAGAAAAUCCACUUGGUGUCCGACGAAGUCCUCAAAAGAACAAUCGACAGUCAAAAUCAACAUAGGUGGUGAACACAGUGGAAGUCAGCCGGUGCUUCGUUAGUUGUUGUGAUAAAGAAAAUGUGUUGUUAGAAAAGAUUCCCUCAGAUAAGUGGCUGGUGGACAGGUGGUUGUGUAAGAGAUUGUUAUUUCAAAUAUUCCAAUUGCAGGCAAAGUUGAAGGACUGGACUUUUGCUGAAGGCAGCUCUUUUGCUCCUCAGAGACUGCCAGGUGUAAAAUAUUAGUUUUUCUUAUUAAUGUUUUAAAAAAUUCCACUGUGCAUUUUGUAAAUAAAACUGAGUGAACCAUUC